CAGUAGCCACGGGAAUACAGAGGGUGCAAGCGUUAAUCGGAAUUACUGGGCGUAAAGCGCGCGUAGGUGGUUUGUUAAGUUGGAUGUGAAAGCCCCGGGCUCAACCUGGGAACUGCAUCCAAAACUGGCAAGCUAGAGUACGGUAGAGGGUGGUGGAAUUUCCUGUGUAGCGGUGAAAUGCGUAGAUAUAGGAAGGAACACCAGUGGCAAAGGCGACCACCUGGACUGAUACUGACACUGAGGUGCGAAAGCGUGGGGAGCAAACAGGAUUAGAUACCCCUGUAGUCCCUGUCUCUUAUAA
rnacentral:rRNA from 1 species